rnacentral:lncRNA from 1 species
GCAUGCUUUCUAAAAGUUUCAUGCAGAACUAUAAAGGUCCCACAGGUAGGUUUUGAAAGAGCAAAAUGCAGAACUAUAAAAGACCCAAUAGGCAUAUUUUCUAAGUGCAGAAAAAUGCAGAAUUAUAAAAGACCUUAUAGAAAUGUUUCCUAAGUGCAGAAAAUGCAGAAUUAUGAAAGGCCCUAUAGGCAUGUUUUCUACCCCUUCACAUACAUUCAUUCCCCAUCCCUUUCCACUAUCCACUCCAAUAGUUAUUAAAAAAAUAUUACAGAUCGAAUGAAUCAAAAAGAAAGAAAAGUAGAAAUUACAUCAGAAGCUCUAGCUACAUCCAAACAGGCUAAUUCAGAUUCAAAGUCCAAUAAUAUGAUAUAAACCAGCUUCCACGAUCAGAUUUCCAAAAGACCUUCUCAUGUUUGGGGGUGUGUCAAAGUUCCCAAGAGUCUUAAAGGGCUCCGGACAGUUUUUAUACCCCAAAACAUUUCAGAAUCAAGAACAUAGUGCAGUGUGGAAAGGCCAGCUCUCAGAUAUCCAAGUUCAAAGGGAACUCAAGGUCCCAAAGCAAGGCUCAAAAGAUAGUGGCAGAACUUAAGAUUCUAGGAAUAGGUGUAAGUGCACAAAGGGGAAGGGAAUCAGAGAGAGACAGAACAAGCUAGUGGUCAUGCCCACCAAUUGGGAUGCUGGCACACCCCUUGCCAGCAUGCUAGUCAAGCAUUAAGAGUUAGGAUCCAUUGUGGAUCAAGCCAAGGCCUGGAAAGUAAUUAGGAUACUGUCAAGCCAAGAUCUUAAGUCAACAAAUAGAAGGGAAUGUGGGUAGAGGGUUCAUAACAGAAACAAAAGCAAAAAAAUAUAUAAAGCACAAGUUACAGCAUAUAAGCAGUAAAGUAAACAAGAAACCUGAAGUUGUAAAGUAAACACAUAGGGGUGAGGCAGAAUAUUUAAACAAAGGAAAUACCAGUUUCAAAUAAAAUAAGUAAGCAAAAGUAGCCUUGAGAGAGCUAAAUUGCAAACAACAAUUCCCAAAAGAUCUCAAGCAAAGCAGGAUCAGAAAAUAGUAUUGCUAGAAAAGUGAAUUCAGUAUGUGAAUGUUGUAUUUUUGGUUAUUGAGAAUUGACUCCUUAUGGAAAGAGGGAGGACUAGGUCCUUAAAUAGUUUUUGAAAACAAUUAAGGCAUGCAAAGAGUGCACAAACAUAGAAACCAAUCAAUUUGUAUUAAUUAAGACAACUAGACUCCUUUAAUUAAAGGUUCUAGGUCAAACGGUUAAUCAAGAUGGAACAAUGAGGAAAUAUUAGUUUUCUAAAGCUUGAUUAAGGUAAGGAAACCAUAUAGUACAUAAAUAAGGUCAAGUAUAGAAUUGGUAAUUAAAGAAAGAUGGAAUAGUAGUGUUCUUCAUAAAGUAAAAAUGAGGUAUCAGUUUGAAAAUUAGUCAAAGGAUCUCGGAUCUAAUUGUAAUCAUAAAAGACCUCAAGUAAUUAAGGAAAGAAUAAAUUCAAACAUUCGUAAAGAAUCACAGAGGAGAUACACAAGACCUAUUAUUUAAGAAAAACAUCACAAGUCUAGUCUACGCAAAAAGAUUAAAAUAAAUAGCCAGUAGGGUAAAGGGGAUCCACUCGAAAGAAAUCAAUACUGAAUCACUAGCAUGAUUAAACGGAUUUCAAAAUUAGUCCUGGGUGAAAUAUUUGAAAGGGAAGCUUUUUCCUGAUAUAUAAAGCAUAUUGUUCAAACAAAAAAAAGCCUAACGAUGAAAGUUUCAGAAUAAUAGGAAGUAAUAUUUUUAGUUCGAUUACAGGCUCAUCGUUAGUCUGUAAACUUAGGGUUUCAAAGAGAAUUCCUAGUGCCAUCUACCCAAAGAAAAACCCGAGAUUUAGGGUUUCAAAUGGAAUCAGGGGUGAGGAAUCAUUCAAAGUCAUUGAGAGAGGAAGACUUACACAAACAAAAUGCAGAAGAAAGAGAAACUAUGAGUUUUAAGACAAAAGGUAGGCAAAAAAACAUGCUGAGCAGGAAUAUCAACGAAACUUAGUAAAGUGAAACAAAAUCAAAGCGUGAACUUAAACACAUAUGGCAAAGGGUGAGGAGCAACGACCUAAGUUAGCAUGUGAACAAAGAAAAGAAAAGAAUCUUUACAAAAUCAGGAAAGAAAUAAGAGAACAGACUUGAACAUAAUAAGAAAUAGACAAGCGAGCAUAAACACACAUCAGAAAACAUUUAGAAGCUUUUUUGAAUAACCCUUAAAAUCGGAUUCGAAAAUUUUUGAAAAAAAGGAAAUUUGGGGAAAAGCUUUAAUAAAGAACCUUAGAAGGCUUAAAAAUGGCAGAGAAGACCCUAGGAUCAGGUCUUAGGGAAAGUCGGAUCUUGAGUCAGAGAGACACAUAUUGCUUUGAACAUGCCGGAAAAUAGCCAGAGAGGCCAUGGAUCUUGCAGAUCUGAGAUAGAUCUAAAGGAGACCAUACUAAUUAGGCCUCCAAACUUCUAAUAGCGUAAGUUAAUGGUGAUAAAGAGCGAGCACAGGCCACCCAUGGCCAGGUUGCCAUGGAUUCCGGUGAAAAAUAAGACCGAGAUCGGUGGAAUAGAGUGAGGGUUCUGGAGGGAUAGAGAGGUUUUUGGGAGAUGAAGGGAGUUUAGAGGCAGCUGUCUUUGGGUAAAUGAACUAGGGUUAGGGGGUUACAGAUUAAAAAAGGAAAGAAUG